ACAAUGGAGAGUUUGAUCCUGGCUCAGGAUGAACGCUAGCGAUAGGCUUAACACAUGCAAGUCGAGGGGUAACAUGAGAAGAGCUUGCUCUUUUUGAUGACGACCGGCGCACGGGUGCGUAACACGUAUGCAACCUGCCCUUUAUUAGCGGAUACCCCGAUGAAAGUCGGACUAAUACGUUAUGCAUUGCGAAGUUUGCAUGAACUUUGCAAUAAAGAUUUAUCGAUAAAGGAUGGGCAUGCGGUCCAUUAGAUAGUUGGUAGGGUAAAAGCCUACCAAGUCAAUGAUGGAUAGGGGGACUGAGAGGUUGACCCCCCACACCGGUACUGAGAUACGGACCGGACUCCUACGGGAGGCAGCAGUGAGGAAUAUUGGUCAAUGGGCGAGAGCCUGAACCAGCCACGUCGCGUGAAGGAAGACUGACCUUACGGUUUGUAAACUUCUUUUGUAGAGGGGUAAUGGCAGAUACGUGUAUUUGCGUGAAAGUACUCUACGAAUAAGCAUCGGCUAACUCCGUGCCAGCAGCCGCGGUAAUACGGGGGAUGCGAGCGUUAUCCGGAAUUAUUGGGUUUAAAGGGUGCGCAGGUGGCUAAUCAGGUCAGUGGUGAAAAGCUAUGGCUCAACCAUGGUCUUGCCAUUGAAACCGUAUAGCUAGAGAGGAGACGAGGUAGGCGGAAUGUGUGGUGUAGCGGUGAAAUGCAUAGAUAUCACACAGAACUCCGAUUGCGAAGGCAGCUUACCAGGCUUUAUCUGACACUUAGGCACGACAGCGUGGGGAUCAAACAGGAUUAGAUACCCUGGUAGUCCACGCCGUAAACGAUGAAUACUAGUUUUUUGCGAUAAACAGUAAGAGACUAAGCGAAAGCGAUAAGUAUUCCACCUGGGGAGUACGCCGGCAACGGUGAAACUCAAAGGAAUUGACGGGGGCCCGCACAAGCGGAGGAACAUGUGGUUUAAUUCGAUGAUACGCGAGGAACCUUACCCGGGAUUGAAAUUUAGGUGCAUGGCGAAGAGAUUUGCCUUUCCUUCGGGACUCCUAAGUAGGUGCUGCAUGGUUGUCGUCAGCUCGUGCCGUGAGGUGUUGGCUUAAGUGCCAUAACGAGCGCAACCCACGUUGAUAGUUACUAACAGGUAAAGCUGAGGACUCUAUUGAUACUGCCGUCGUAAGACGAGAGGAAGGUGUGGAUGACGUCAAAUCAGCACGGCCCUUAUAUCCGGGGCGACACACGUGUUACAAUGGAGAGGACAGCGAGAAGCGACUAUGUGAGUAGGAGCGGAUCUCUUAAACCUUUCCCCAGUUCGGAUCGGAGUCUGCAACUCGACUCUGUGAAGCCGGAUUCGCUAGUAAUCGCGCAUCAGCCAUGGCGCGGUGAAUACGUUCCCGGGCCUUGUACACACCGCCCGUCAAGCCAUGGGAAUCGGGGGUACCUGAAGUGCGUGACCGUCAAAGGAGCGUUUUAGGGUAAUACUGGUGACUGGGGCUAAGUCGUAACAAGGUAGCCGUACCGGAAGGUGCGGCUGGAACAACUCCUUU
rfam:Bacteroidales bacterium KA00251 genomic scaffold Scaffold17, whole genome shotgun sequence.